rnacentral:rRNA from 1 species
GAUGAACGCUGGCGGCGUGCCUAAUACAUGCAAGUCGAGCGAACAGACGAGGAGCUUGCUCCUCUGACGUUAGCGGCGGACGGGUGAGUAACACGUGGAUAACCUACCUAUAAGACUGGGAUAACUUCGGGAAACCGGAGCUAAUACCGGAUAACAUGUUGAACCGCAUGGUUCAACAGUGAAAUACGGUCUUGCUGUCACUUAUAGAUGGAUCCGCGCCGCAUUAGCUAGUUGUUAAGGUAACGGCUUACCAAGGCAACGAUGCGUAGCCGACCUGAGAGGGUGAUCGGCCACACUGGAACUGAGACACGGUCCAGACUACUACGGGAGGCAGCAGUAGGGAAUCUUCCGCAAUGGGCGAAAGCCUGACGGAGCAACGCCGCGUGAGUGAAGAAGGUCUUCGGAUCGUAAAACUCUGUUAUUAGGGAAGAACAAAUGUGUAAGUAACUAUGCACGUCUUGACGGUACCUAAUCAGAAAGCCACGGCUAACUACGUG